AUUGAACGCUGGCGGCAGGCCUAACACAUGCAAGUCGAGCGGAUGAAGGGAGCUUGCUCCUGGAUUCAGCGGCGGACGGGUGAGUAAUGCCUAGGAAUCUGCCUGGUAGUGGGGGAUAACGUCCGGAAACGGGCGCUAAUACCGCAUACGACCUGAGGGAGAAAGUGGGGGAUCUUCGGACCUCACGCUAUCAGAUGAGCCUAGGUCGGAUUAGCUAGUUGGUGGGGUAAAGGCCUACCAAGGCGACGAUCCGUAACUGGUCUGAGAGGAUGAUCAGUCACACUGGAACUGAGACACGGUCCAGACUCCUACGGGAGGCAGCAGUGGGGAAUAUUGGACAAUGGGCGAAAGCCUGAUCCAGCCAUGCCGCGUGAGUGAAGAAGGUCUUCGGAUUGUAAAGCACUUUAAGUUGGGAGGAAGGGCAGUAAGUUAAUACCUUGCUGUUUUGACGUUACCAACAGAAUAAGCACCGGCUAACUUCGUG
rnacentral:rRNA from 1 species